GGAAGGCUGUGACUCCAUGGUAGAGCUUCUGCUUGGCAUACAGAAGGUCUCAGGUUCAAUCCCUGGCAUCUCCA
rnacentral:tRNA from 1 species